UACAGUGAUUAAAAAAUAGACAAACUCAAAAUAAAAAACAAAAUCCCUAAAAGCUCUCCCUUUCUUCUGUUCCUUCUUCCCCGUUCUUCUUCUUCUUCUUCUUUUUCUUCUCAGGCAACGGUUGGGACGUCAAAGCUGCCGCUGACUUCAAUGGCACCCAGCCACCGACGAAGCUUGCGACGAGACCUGAAUCGAUGCUCGGGAUGGGAUCUUGGUUCAUAGGUCUUGGGACGACAGAUCUACAACGGAGCUAGGGACGACGAUGUACUUGGCGGUUACCUCAAAGGUGUUGUCGAAGAUGUUGUUCUGGGUGAAUCUAUCGCCGUUGCUGAGGGUGGCUGGGAUGUUGUCCAUACCCAUGGGUGGGUGGGGUUGGGGUUGUGGUUGUGGUUGGGGCUGAGGUUCGGGAUGCGCCGCGUCGGACAUGACGGUGUCCGUUGGGUGAGGUUGAGCUCGGUCCAUUUCAGUUGAGAGUGUCCACACUCUAUUCCUCUCUCUGGAAUUGUGUUUGGAUAUAUAUCCUGUUAGUUGUAGUUUUAUUUUGAUAGGUGACAGCAAAGAUUGAUGAUGGUGGUCUUUGCAUAAAUUAAAUUAGUUUGAAAUCAUCAAAUAUAAUUUUGAGAAAAAAUAAAAUAGUAAUCAUCAAUUCUCAUAUGUUGGUUAACGUGAUUUUCAAAAAUCAGAUUUGUUUUUGAAGAUGUUUUAAUUUUUAGAUAGUUGUUAAUCAGUUUUUUGUUUUAUUUUUAAUUAGAUUUUUAUUUAAUUUUUAAACUUAGGUAUUAAGUAUUUAAGUGCCACAAUCUAUAAAACUAAAUUAUUUUCGCCGCAUAUUGCGAAAUAAAAAAUUAUUAUCGCUGAUCUCUAAGGUUGAAUCCCUAAUAACAAUUCACUCAGUCACUUAGUUCUCUCUCCUUCAUGCCCUCUCUCUCUCUCUCUCUCUCUCUCACACAAUCUCUCGGGUUUCUCUCAUUCAUACCGCUACUCUGUAUUCCUUCCCAUUGAGCCGCUGAAGCACACCAUGGCGACACCGAUGCUGAAAUACACCACGACCUCUCUAUCACACAGUCCCUCGUCGUGGUGUGGUAGCCGCUGAGCCACCGAAGAACCAGGCGUGCUAGCCGCUGAACUAUUGAAGAGCCAGGCAACGUAUUGAGCUGCUAAAGAACUAGGCAGUCACUGAAGAACCAGGCGACGCUCUACACCAAUCUGCCAACCUUCAUUUGUCUCCGAGAAUUACAGGGAUUUGACUGGCACUUCUUGGUCGCUCAUAAACUUCAUCAGCUUUUACUUAAUUACUUUCUUGUUGCUACUGAAUUUGGUAACUAUUUUAUGCUGUUUCAAUAUUUAUCUUUGUUUACCAAUAUGUUUUUUUUAUGUGUUUCAGACAACAGAAGGCAGUGAAUCUAACUAUUUAAUCAACAUUGUUAAAUCAGAUUAAGGUUGAACCAUAUUUAGAGGGGGGUUGUAUAUAUCUUGUGGAGGGGGAUGACAACGGAACAGAUGAGAUAAAACUAUAAUGGUGACAUAACACACAACAAUAAUUCAGUAUGUCAUUUCCAAAUUCAUGUUCUGUUUUAGUGCCUAUUACCGAGAUGGAAUAAUUAUAAAUCGAUGGGUCCCAUUUACAGUUGCAUGAAGCAACAAUUAUAAAAAACAAGAGUAUCAAUGAAAAACAUGAUAAACAAUUGUGGCAUUCAAGAUGGAUGUUAUCCAUGCAAGAAGGCCAGAAGGCCAGUUCUUUUGUCAAGGGAUAUGGAUUUUGCAUGACCUUCAGGGAUCCAAAUGGAGCCGUUCAAUGGCUUCAUUGGCUGUUAAAUUGGAAGAAAACUUUAUUUGCAACAGUUUGCAAGAGGAACUAAGUUUGAAUUUCACCAUAUAUGUUUAAGUUGGCACUCCUAAUUUGAACAAGGAUAUUGAUCUUUUUUGUUGAGCUUUAGACCAAGUCAUUUAUAUACUUAUGUGAUGAAGUGUGUGUAUCGAAGGAAAAGGAAGAACAAAGAAGUAGUGUUUGUGGUUGUUCUAUUAAGGUAAUACUUGUGUGUUUAUAACUGUUCUAUUAAAGUUAUAUUAUGUUAUUGCUAAAACAAACAAAAAAAAGUAGUGUUUGUGUUUGCUUUUUUUGUAUGUGGACCAACUGCUAUUAUGUUUUCCUGAUGACUUGAUAGAAAAUAAUUAUUCCUUACGAACUAUUUUUUGAACAGACAAACUAUUUAUCAUGGACCUUUGAUUCUUUGAAUCUGAAUUAUUAUGGUUCGUACAAUAAAAAUUGGACAAAAUUGAUCUCUUGUAGUGAUAUUUUCAUGUUAAUAUGAGUUGUUCAUUUGAAGCUUAAAUUAUAAUGCAUGCUAGUUGUUUUCCUUGGUUUAUGAUACUAGACAGUUGUAAAUGGUAGGGAAGAUUUUGGACUAUGGAUAUGUUUUCCCAUGUUUGGGGUUUGACACUCUUGGUUGUUUUUCAAAGCAUAUAUUUUCGUAUGCUUUGGAGGUAUUAAUUCAUCAUGUUUAGUUACUUCCUCGGUCCAAGUUACAUAAAACUAAAUAUGUGAAGCAAAUACUUUUUUUAGACUAUUUCUAGAUUUAUUAGGAUUCUAUAUCUAUGCUUGUUUCACUAUUUUUUUUUUAUUGUGAUUAAUUUAAAUGUGGCAGAUUCUUCUGACUAACAAAUAGUAGUUGCAGAGUUAAAUUGUUUGGCAACUAGUACUACCUAACAUGAGAUAGUUUUGAUUUUUUUGUUUGUUUUAUAUUUAUGUUCUCUCUCUCUCUCUUCUUUUUUAUUUUGAAACAUCUCAUUUUGAGAAAAAAUUGUGUUAAUGAUCUCUUUUUUUUAUGGAUCUGUUUAGAAUGGCUUAAGCUCGAUUAUAUUUAGCAAUGACACUAUUUUGUAUAUCUUCUUUUUUAUUUUGAAACAUCUCAUUUUGAGAAAAAAUUGUGUUAAUGAUCUCUUUUUUUUAUGGAUCUGUUUAGAAUGGCUUAAGCUCGAUUAUAUUUAGCAAUGACACUAUUUUGUAUAUCUUCUGCCAUAUUGAAGUGACAUUCUAAACAUUUCUAAAAUCUGAUUUUUUUUCUAUGGAUUUUCCCAACCCGCAUUUUUCUUUUUGAAAGGUUCCAAGCUACAUUAUUGUGCUAGUUCCUCAACUAUUUAGGUUACAUAAUGGUUAAUUUGAGUAUCAUGGAGAAUAAAUUUUAGUUGCACUUUGCUCAUGAAUGAGAGGGGAAAGAAAAAAUAUAUUUAAUUUUAAUGGCUUUAAAAAUUUCAUACAUUUGUAUUCUUCGUAGUAUACCAUUAUUUUGUAGUUAUUUGUGGACAAUACCAUAUUAGAAAUGCCUAGUUUUUUAUUCUUAUUGUAGAAUGCUUCUUCUCUUUUCUGUAACAUGUGUUCAUGAGCUGAUAUGCAUGCACUCAUCCACAAUCAUCCAUGAUUAUAUGCUAGCACAAACUCAAAAGUGUAUCUAGAUCAUUUUUAUUGUUCGGUUCACUUAGAAAUUUCUAGUUUCACGAAUUUUAUGUUAUUUGCCAAUUCAAUAUAGGGCUGAUCAAAAUAAGGGACCACUAAUGUUACAUGAAUAAAUAGGAUGUUUUUUUAAUGCACAAGAACAUUUGUAUCUAAAUAAGACAAUUUUAUUUAACAACAAAGAUUUGAAUGCAUAACGCAUGUUUUGAGACAUAGAAUUGUAGAUGAAGGUGAUACUAUAUUUGGUUUGAAGUAUAUAUAGUAUAAAUGAUUUGAAUGCAAGAUUCAUCUUCUAUUAUUUAAUUUUUAAUUGUUCUGUGUAGGAGUCGAGUGACCUGAUUUUUUUUUUUUACUUUGAUUCUUGCAUUGAGCAAUAUUGUUAUCAUCAUUCUUUUAAGAGGGUUUCUCUUUAAAUUUAGUGACUAGAAUAGUUGAAAUUUGACAUAAAUUUAAUUUAUGGUGAUUGGUAUUUACUAGUUAUAUGCUCCCAAUAUUAUCUAAAGUCAUAACCAGUUUCAAUGUCUUUGAUUAGGUAUAAGACUUUUGGUUUGUGUAUGUGUAACUAUAAGAGGAACAAGAAAAGAGAACGGGACUGCAUUUUUAAUGCCAUUGAUGGGGGAUUUUUCUAUAGAUUUGGAGCUUGACUAGGAUUUGAUUUGUGAAUUUGUCUUGGAAAUAUUGGAUCACAGAAUCUGGAUUUACAAGGGGAAUAAGGAUACAGAAUAAAAUGAGGAAUCACAAAUGACUCAAUGUUCACGGAAGACAUCUAUGAUUGUGAUUGGUUUUGAUCAAGGAAUAUACUAAUAAUAUGGAGCAAUAUUCAUGGUUUACUUUUUGUGUAUCUUGCUAUGUUUUUGUUUUCAUUUUUGAAGUAAAAGAUGUUCAUGAUUAUGGAACUUUAUUAUGUAUGCUUUCAAACAUAAGUUAGAACUAAGGUUUGAAUUAGUUCUUGUUUAAUGUAAUACUUAUGGUUUAUCAAUCUAUUUAAUAUUACAUUUUGUGAUUAA